GAUCCUGGCUCAGGAUGAACGCUGGCGGCGUGCCUAAUACAUGCAAGUCGAACGAGUUUUGGUCGAUGAACGGUGCUUGCACUGAGAUUCGACUUAAAACGAGUGGCGGACGGGUGAGUAACACGUGGGUAACCUGCCCUUAAGUGGGGGAUAACAUUUGGAAACAGAUGCUAAUACCGCAUAAAUCCAAGAACCGCAUGGUUCUUGGCUGAAAGAUGGCGCAAGCUAUCGCUUUUGGAUGGACCCGCGGCGUAUUAGCUAGUUGGUGAGGUAACGGCUCACCAAGGCGAUGAUACGUAGCCGAACUGAGAGGUUGAUCGGCCACAUUGGGACUGAGACACGGCCCAAACUCCUACGGGAGGCAGCAGUAGGGAAUCUUCCACAAUGGACGCAAGUCUGAUGGAGCAACGCCGCGUGAGUGAAGAAGGCUUUCGGGUCGUAAAACUCUGUUGUUGGAGAAGAAUGGUCGGCAGAGUAACUGUUGUCGGCGUGACGGUAUCCAACCAGAAAGCCACGGCUAACUACGUGCCAGCAGCCGCGGUAAUACGUAGGUGGCAAGCGUUAUCCGGAUUUAUUGGGCGUAAAGCGAGCGCAGGCGGUUUUUUAAGUCUGAUGUGAAAGCCCUCGGCUUAACCGAGGAAGCGCAUCGGAAACUGGGAAACUUGAGUGCAGAAGAGGACAGUGGAACUCCAUGUGUAGCGGUGAAAUGCGUAGAUAUAUGGAAGAACA
rnacentral:rRNA from 1 species